AUUGAACGCUGGCGGCAGGCUUAACACAUGCAAGUCGAGCGGAGAUGAGGUGCUUGCACCUUAUCUUAGCGGCGGACGGGUGAGUAAUGCUUAGGAAUCUGCCUAUUAGUGGGGGACAACAUUCCGAAAGGAAUGCUAAUACCGCAUACGUCCUACGGGAGAAAGCAGGGGAUCUUCGGACCUUGCGCUAAUAGAUGAGCCUAAGUCGGAUUAGCUAGUUGGUGGGGUAAAGGCCUACCAAGGCGACGAUCUGUAGCGGGUCUGAGAGGAUGAUCCGCCACACUGGGACUGAGACACGGCCCAGACUCCUACGGGAGGCAGCAGUGGGGAAUAUUGGACAAUGGGGGAAACCCCGAUCCAGCCAUGCCGCGUGUGUGAAGAAGGCCUUAUGGUUGUAAAGCACUUUAAGCGAGGAGGAGGCUACUGAGACUAAUACUCUUGGAUAGUGGACGUUACUCGCAGAAUAAGCACCGGCUAACCCUGUGCCAGCAGCCGCAGUAACAC
rnacentral:rRNA from 1 species